rnacentral:sRNA from 1 species
ACAUCAGCAAAAUCUGAUGUCGGGAUUGGUCUCCUGAUAACUACGAAGGCGCAUACACCGCGCAAGCGGUUUUUUU